UUUUUCUUCCGCUCCCAAUCGUCAUCUCUCGUUUCUCAAUUGUUUUUUUUUUCUUCUUUUUUCUCUGUUCUUCAUCAUACCAAACCCUAGAUCUAAUUUUUCCACCACAAAAAGAUUGAGGCGGCAACAGAAGAUCCCGGCGCUAAUUAUUUUUCUUCCGCUCCCAAUCGUCAUCUCUCGUUUCUCAAUUGUUUUUUUUCUUCUCUUUUCUCUGUUCUUCAUCCUACCAAACCCUAGAUCUAAUUUUUCCACCACAAAAAAAUUGAGGCGGCAACAGAAGAUCCCGGCGGCAGGAAUCGACAAACACAAACGGUAAAGGAUUCAAAGGACUAGCAGCAGGACACCGAUGGAGAUCUACAAAUUAUCCCACGCCGUCCAUGUUCUCACCACAGCCGCCGCCCUCCGUCAAAAUCGCCGCCGCCGUCCUUGCCAAAACCGCAACUGUUGAAUAUCUACAAAUUAACCGGUAUAAUUUAUGGAUCUGAAUUUUCAAUUAUAUUAUUUUAUUUUAUUUUAAUUUUUUUUAGUUAAAUGGUUAUAAUAGCGUGAAAAUUAGAAAAAAAAAAUAACAUUAGAUUCUCCGAGUACCUAAUACAAGGAUGAACUAAAGGAGUAAAUCGUUAUUCGCACAAAUUAUAAUCCUAAUGCCAAAAAAAAAACGAGUUUUUUGGUUGAUGGUCAGUGUUGUUCCUAAGCCAAAGUCCGUUUUAAUAGCUACUUUUUUUUUUCCCUCCAAUGUUCUACAAUAGUUAUAUUAUUUUGUUUGUUAUGAAUGCAUAUAUUUCAAUUAUCAUGCAUUUUAUUAAUUUUUGUGAGUUUUUGUUUUUUCGUAUCCUAGUGCAUGUUUGUAUGCAUUUGUAUGCAUUGACAAUUGUGGAUUGGCAUGAUAAGAGUUGUGAUUUAUAUUUUUUUUUGUGUUUCAUGUUGUUCGAAUUCGUUUUAUUUAUUUGAUAAUGUAUGAGUGUUCGUACCAUUUGGUUGUUAUGAAUUUUAACAAUAAAAUACCAUAAUAGUCACGUAUAGUCGCUUAACUACACCUGUUAUGUUUGCAAACACUUGUGCUCAUAGUCACAUAUAGUUAUAUAUUGUGUUUUACUUGCCGGGGGUUGAGGUAUCUUUCUCCCUAUUCAUCUACUUCACUUGAUCUUAGUUUGUUUUCUGAAGUUUUCUGGUGUAAAAUUCAGUUUGCAACCAAAAGAAUCGAUGAUGCUGAAUAAGAUGGGCAAAAAGCAGGCUAAUUGAAGAGAAUCAACUCUAUAGUCAUAUAUAGUCAUAUUGUAGUCAUAUUGUAGUUAUAUGUAGGCGUGCAUAGUCAUAUAUACGACAUAUAUGUUUUUUUUCUAAUGUACAAUGAUGUAGAUGGUUGUUUAUAGUUGAAGAAUUCAUACACACAAUUUUUUGAUGUAUUUGUGUCGCUACAGGUGGAUUUGUAAUAACAAGGUUCAAAUUGUAAUUUUUUGUGUGGAUGUUGAUUGGAUUGUUUUCGUAUAUAAUGGGCAAUCUUCGUG
rnacentral:lncRNA from 1 species